GCCCCAGGAGAGCAGAAACUUCCUUUGUCUACCCGACAGGGCUGAAGCCUCAGAGUCUGGAUCAGUGUCAGGAAAAAUAGCUAAAGUGAUCCAUCUUCCUUUCUUUGAGGAAGGUUGGCACCGCUUCUGUUGCUUCCAGGAAGAUUGCAUACACAUGUAAAACCGGAAAAACGUUAAUGAAGAGAAAAACUAAAAGGUAGGAGGGUGUACUCAAAUAUCAAGUUCUCCUCCAUGUAGUAGCUGCCCCUGCCUUCAUUAAUAGAACCAUUAAGAUCCUUGUUGCUCCCUGUGCAACAAUAGGAAGGGAGCUCAGGAUAUAGACUUAAAACGGAGGACACAGAACAGUGGACGCCAGCGGUGUCCAACUUUUUGGCUUCCCUGGGCCACCUUGGAAGAAGAAAAAUAGUCUUGGGCCACACAUAAAAUACACUAACGAUAGCUGACAAG
rnacentral:lncRNA from 1 species